rfam:Triticum aestivum genome assembly, contig: Triticum_aestivum_CS42_TGACv1_scaffold_376181_5AL
CUACUACUCCCUCCGUUUCAAAUUACUUGUCACAAAAAUGGAUGUAUGUAGAAGUAAAAUAUAUCUAGAUGCAUCCAUACAUGCGACAAGUAAUUCGGAACGAAGGGAGUACCUC